rnacentral:rRNA from 1 species
GACGAACGCUGGCGGCGUGCCUAAUACAUGCAAGUCGAACGAAGCUUUUUUAACUGGUGCUUGCACCGACUUAAACAACUGAGUGGCGAACGGGUGAGUAACACGUGGGUAACCUGCCCCAAAGCGGGGGAUAACAUUUGGAAACAGAUGCUAAUACCGCAUAACCACAGAAACCACAUGGUUUCUGUGUCAAAGAUGGUUUCGGCUAUCACUUUGGGUUGGACCCGCGGCGUAUUAGCUAGUUGGUAAGGUAAUGGCUUACCAAGGCAAUGGUACGUAGCCGAACUGAGAGGUUGAUCGGCCACAUUGGGACUGAGACACGGCCCAAACUCCUACGGGAGGCAGCAGUAGGGAACCUUCCACAAUGGACGAAAGUCUGAUGGAGCAACGCCGCGUGAGUGAAGAAGGUUUUCGGAUCGUAAAACUCUGUUGUCAGAGAAGAACGUGUGCGAGAGUAACUGUUCGUGCAGUGACGGUAUCUGGCCAGAAAGCCACGGCUAACUACGUGCCAGCCGCCGCAGUAA